rnacentral:rRNA from 1 species
GUACACGCUGUGACUAGCAUAUCAAUAAGCGGAGGAAAAGAAACUAACAAGGAUUCCCCUAGUAACGGCGAGUGAAGCGGGAAGAGCUCAAAUUUGAAAUCUUAAAGGGUUUCCCUUUACGAAUUGUAGUUUAAAGAAGUGUUUUCUGUUGAGGUUUUGGUAAAAGUUCUUUGGAAUAGGACAUCAUAGAGGGUGAGAAUCCCGUAUUUGACCUUUACUUUCAACUUUGUGAUACACUUUCAAAGAGUCGGAUUGUUUGGGAAUGCAGUCCAAAAUGGGUGGUAAAUUUCAUCUAAAGCUAAAUAUUGGCGAGAGACCGAUAGCGAACAAGUACCGUGAGGGAAAGAUGAAAAGAACUUUGAAAAGAGAGUUAAACAGUACGUGAAAUUGUCAAAAGGGAAGCGUUUGACACCAGUGUUGUUUUUCUGAAAAUCAAUUAAAGAACUGUUUAUGCUAAGUUGUUUAGACUUUAUCAGCUAACUGUUUAGUUUUGAGCUUUUCUUUAAUGCACCUUUCAGUUAACAAGUCAACAUCAAUUUCUUUUGCUGUAAAAAAGCUUGAGGAAGGUGGCUUGAGAUUCGUCUUAAGUGUUUAUAGCCUCUUGCCUAUGCAGUCAGAGAGAUUGAGGUCUGCAGCGUAGAUCCUUCGGGGCUAAAUGCAUUUGUGCUAAGUUAUAGCAUUUUAUAGACAACUUGUUGACUAUGAUUUGUCUUGUAGCUUACUCGCUUAUGUUAUUUUACCUACGCUUAGGAUGUUGACGCGCGUGUGUGCGUG